UACGAAGGGGGCUAGCGUUGUUCGGAAUUACUGGGCGUAAAGCGCACGUAGGCGGAUUUGUUAGUCAGGGGUGAAAUCCCGGGGCUCAACCUCGGAACUGCCUUUGAUACUGCAAGUCUUGAGUCCGGAAGAGGUGAGUGGAAUUCCUAGUGUAGAGGUGAAAUUCGUAGAUAUUAGGAGGAACACCAGUGGCGAAGGCGGCUCACUGGUCCGGUACUGACGCUGAGGUGAGAAAGCGUGGGGAGCAAACAGG
rnacentral:rRNA from 1 species